rnacentral:rRNA from 1 species
UCCUGCUCAAAUGAUUUUUUAAAUUGCUGUGGUAUUUUGACUAUACGAAGGUAUUGAAAUAAGGCUUUAAUUGAGUGCUAAGAGAAUGAUUUAACAAAAAUUGACUUUCUUUUUAUUUAAAAUAAAAAUUGAUUUAAUAAUGAAAAAGUUUUUAUGAAUUUUUGGGACAAGAAGACCCUAUGAAUUUUAUUUAAAAUUUUAUUUACUAUUAAUAAAGGAAAAUAAAAUAUUCUUUUAAAUUGGUUGGGGUGACUUUUAAAGAAUGAAUAUCUUUAAAAAGUAAAUAAUAUGAACCUUAAUUUAAGGUUAUUUGUAAAAAAUACUCUAGGGAUAACAGCGUAAUUAUUUUGGAUAGUUCAUAUAGAUGAAAUAGUUUGCGACCUCGAUGCUGGAUUAAGACUAUUCUAUAUGAUGUAGAAGUUAUAUUAAAAAGUUGCUCAACUU